rnacentral:hammerhead_ribozyme from 1 species
CCGUUGAUGACGAGUCCCAAAUAGGACGAAACGCGCGUCAAACUG